rnacentral:rRNA from 1 species
CCUACGGGAGGCUGCAGUAGGGAAUCUUCCACAAUGGGCGAAAGCCUGAUGGAGCAACGCCGCGUGGGUGAAGAAGGUCUUCGGAUCGUAAAACCCUGUUGUUAGAGAAGAAAGUGCGUGAGAGUAACUGUUCACGUUUCGACGGUAUCUAACCAGAAAGCCACGGCUAACUACGUGCCAGCAGCCGCGGUAAUACGUAGGUGGCAAGCGUUAUCCGGAUUUAUUGGGCGUAAAGGGAACGCAGGCGGUCUUUUAAGUCUGAUGUGAAAGCCUUCGGCUUAACCGGAGUAGUGCAUUGGAAGCUGGGAGACGUGAGUGCAGAAGAGGAGAGUGGAACUCCAGGUGUAGCGGUGAAAUGCGUAGAUAUAUGGAAGAACACCAGUGGCGAAAGCGGCUCUCUGGUCUGUAACUGACGCUGAGGUUCGAAAGCGUGGGUAGCAAACAGGAUUAGAUACCCUAGUAGUC